AGAACGAACGCUGGCGGCAUGCCUAACACAUGCAAGUCGAACGCUCUCUUCGGAGGGAGUGGCGCACGGGUGAGUAACGCGUGGGAACCUGCCUUGGAGUGGGGGAUAACCGAUGGAAACGUCGGCUAAUACCGCAUACGUCCUGAGGGAGAAAGAUUUAUCGCUCUGAGAGGGGCCCGCGUCGGAUUAGCUAGUUGGUGGGGUAACGGCCUACCAAGGCGAUGAUCCGUAGCUGGUCUGAGAGGAUGAUCAGCCACACUGGGACUGAGACACGGCCCAGACUCCUACGGGAGGCAGCAGUGGGGAAUAUUGGACAAUGGGCGCAAGCCUGAUCCAGCAAUGCCGCGUGAGUGAUGACGGCCUUAGGGUUGUAAAGCUCUUUCGGCGGGACGAUGAUGACGGUACCCGCAGAAGAACGCCCGGCUAACUUCGCGCCAGCAGCCGC
rnacentral:rRNA from 1 species